GCUUGGAGAGCUCUCAGUCUGACAGAUGUGUGCAGGCAGAUGCACCAGGCUCUGAGCCUCCACAGGGCCCAAGGGAGAAGAUGCUUCACUGGAGGCUUGUGGUCCCCAGAGUCAAGUGCCGCCUGCCAGAUAAAUCACAGGUGUCCCAGGAGACAGCCCUUCUGUGACACAGUGACCAGAGAGUGCUGCUUUCAAAGAAGGAUCAACCCAAGACCAGAAAAUAGCACCUGCCCUUGCCUGGACCUGGAUUACAAACCACUCAGCAUGCUGGGAACAUUUGGGGACAGGGUGGCCAGUAGUGGUGGGGAGCUACAGCCAUAUGAUUCAAGACCACUGGGUCCAAGGCCACAGAAGGUCAACUCAUCCCACAAGCAGAGCUGAUGGCUAAAGUGGCCAGGCACUGGUGGACAUGGAUCCCCAAACCUCAGGGUGCCAGCUUUGGUUAAACCAUGGAGGACUGAGGAGCUAAGAUCUUGUUGAUUUCUACUGAAGCCUGGCACAGUCAUGCCGCCCCAUGCUGACCCAAGCUGACAACACAUUGCAUUCCAAGCCUCUCCAGAGAGCCUCGCUGGGUCCAGUGACUGUUGUACCCAUUUCAAAGGAGUGAAGAUGGGGUGCAGAGUGGCUUGUCCUCCAGGGACAGCCAUUCCCAUAGAGAGACAGCCUCAUCUAAGAGGAGCCAAUUGGCCUCACUGACCUUGGUGGCUGCAGGUCACUGGUGCACAGCCAGAGUGUGGUAGAGGAGGGCACGGAGGUGCUCAGUAAAGGUUCAGCUUGGUGACCUGAGGUCAAUCGCUGGACCCCAUACUAAGGUGGAUGGAUCCAUAAAGUUGUCUCUGGCUUCCACAUGUACUCCACGGUGUGUCCUCCCCACCCUCUAUAGUAGUAAUAAACAGACAAACAAAACAGUGGUGCCUUUGUCUAUGGCUCCCUGACC
rnacentral:lncRNA from 1 species